rnacentral:rRNA from 1 species
GACGAACGCUGGCGGCGUGCCUAAUACAUGCAAGUAGAACGCUGAAGGAGGAGCUUGCUUCUCUGGAUGAGUUGCGAACGGGUGAGUAACGCGUAGGUAACCUGCCUGGUAGCGGGGGAUAACUAUUGGAAACGAUAGCUAAUACCGCAUAAGAGUAGAUGUUGCAUGACAUUUGCUUAAAAGGUGCAAUUGCAUCACUACCAGAUGGACCUGCGUUGUAUUAGCUAGUUGGUGGGGUAACGGCUCACCAAGGCGACGAUACAUAGCCGACCUGAGAGGGUGAUCGGCCACACUGGGACUGAGACACGGCCCAGACUCCUACGGGAGGCAGCAGUAGGGAAUCUUCGGCAAGGGGCGGAAGUCUGACCGAGCAACGCCGCGUGAGUGAAGAAGGUUUUCGGAUCGUAAAGCUCGGUUGUAAGAGAAGAACGAGUGUGAGAGUGGAAAGUUCACACUGUGACGGUAUCUUACCAGAAAGGGACGGCUAACUACGUG